CUGCGUCCAUUUCAGAUCUCUGAAGCCAGUAAGUGCUGAGAAGGAAGGAGCACUUCAGAGAAAUGGCGCGAACAAGAUUCACUCUUUAAGGGAUUCCUAUGACUGCGCCACGGACGACGAGAAGCAUAGAGAGAAGAAGGAACAUCGCCCUCAGUCCAGUUUGGACAGAUUUCCGGAGCCGCCAAGCCCCUGCACUGAGGAGGAGGACAUCACUCCAAGGAUUGGCAGUGCAAAGAUGCGCUCUUUCUCGG